GAAAACUUCAAAUACUCUAAAGCAGUAAAUGACUACUCAUGUGAAGCUAUUUCUUUUUUAUUUUUUGCUCUUAUUCGGUAAUAUUAGCUGUUUUAGUAGCUAUUAGUUAUUCUAAUAGUUAUUAAUUAUUUUAAUAGCUGUUAGCUGUUGGAUAUUAACCGUUAGCAGUUAGUCGUUUAUAUAAUGAUUUAAAGUAAAAAUAUUAGGUGAA
rnacentral:misc_RNA from 1 species